AUGGGCAGCCAGAUAAUGCGGACGCGGCCGGGGCAGCCGCAGGGGUCGGCGAACCCGGCCUGGAACGAGGACUUCAUGUUUGUCGUCAGCGAGCCAUUUGAGGACCAGCUUGCGGUGACCGUGGAGGAGAUGGUCGGCCACGGGAGGUACGAGCCCAUCGGCCGCGUCAUCAUCCCCGUGGCAUCGCCGCACGUGGAGUGCAACGACCUGCUUGUGCCGGUGUCGUCCAAGUGGUUCAGCCUCUCGCGUGGGAUGACCGGGAGCAAGAUCCUGCUCAGGAUGAGUCUGGACACGGCGUACCAUGUGUUGGACGAGCGGCCGGACUUCAAACUCCGCAAGAGCGCCAUUGGCAUCCUGGAGGUGGGGAUUCUGGGCGCACGUGACCUGGCCGCGGGCGUGGAGAACCCGUACGUCGUCGCCAAGUACGGCAGGAAGUGGGUGCGCACACGCACUCUCCUCAACACCACCGCGCCGCAAUGGAACGAGCAGCACACCUGGGAUGUGUUCGACGUCUCCACCGUCAUCACAAUGGCCGUCUUCAACGACUCCCAGGGCGUUGCCAAUGACCAGAGGAUCGGCAAGGUGCGCGUUCGCGUCGCCACCCUCGAGACGGACCGCAUGUACACCCAGUACUACCCGCUCAUGGCGCUUACCCGGUCCCGGCUGAAGAAGAUGGGGCAGCUCCAACUUGCAGUCCGCUUCACCUGCAAGUCUUGGCCCAAAAUGCUGGCCAUGUACGGCAAACCACGGCUCCCCAAGAUGCACUACACCAACCCAAUCACCGUGCGGCAUAUGGACUACCUCCGGUUCGAGGCGAUGCAGAUGGUGGCCACGCGGCUGGGCAGGUCGGAGCCGCCGCUGCCGAGGGAAGUGGUGGAGUACAUGCUCGACGUCGACUCCGACACGUUCAGCCUGCGACGGAGCAAGGCCAACUUCUACCGGCUCAUGGCCCUCUUCUCUGGCAUCAUCGUCGUGUGGAAGUGGUUUGACGACGUCUGCAAGUGGAAGAAUCCGGUGACGACGAUUCUGGUGAACGUGGUAUACCUGAACCUGGUGUGCUACCCGAAGCUAAUCCUGCCGAUGGGAUUCCUGUGCUUCAUCAUGAUCGUUGCGUGGAACUACCGGCAGCGGCCGCGGAAUCUGCCGCACAUGGAUGCGGUGCUGUCACACGCGGAGCUCGCACACCCGGAGGAGCUGGACGAGGAGUUCGACACGUUUCCGGCGUCCAGGCCGGCUGACAUCGUGCGGAUGAGGUAUGAUGGACUAAGGAGCAUCGCCGGCAGGGUGCAGACGGUGGCUGGGAACCUUGCUACGCAGGGAGAGCGCCUGCUGUUCCUGCCUCGCUGGCAUGACCCCAGGGCGACAACCAUCUACAUGAUGCUCUUGGUGAUUACGGCAGUCGUACUGUACCUGACGCCGUUCCGAGUGGUGGCCAUGGUGAUACAGCUGCACUUCCUCCGGCCCCCGUGGUUCCGGAGCAGGACCCCGAACCUGAUCUUCAACUUCUACCGUCGUCUGCCUUCAAAUCAAGACCUGAUGUUGUGA
rnacentral:rRNA from 1 species